UACGUAGGGGGCUAGCGUUGUCCGGAUUUACUGGGCGUAAAGAGCGUGUAGGCGGCCAGGUAGGUCUGCUGUGAAAACUCGAGGCUCAACCUCGAGACGUCGGCGGAAACCAUCUGGCUAGAGUCCGGAAGAGGAGAGUGGAAUUCCUGGUGUAGCGGUGAAAUGCGCAGAUAUCAGGAAGAACACCCGUGGCGAAGGCGGCUCUCUGGGACGGUACUGACGCUGAGACGCGAAAGCGUGGGGAGCGAACAGG
rnacentral:rRNA from 1 species